AUUGAACGCUGGCAGCAGGCUUAACACAUGCAAGUCGAACGAUGAAACCUAGCUUGCUAGGUGGAUUAGUGGCGGACGGGUGAGUACAACUUAGGAAUCUACCUUUUAGCGGGGGAUAGCUCGGGGAAACUCGAAUUAAUACCGCAUACUCCUUACGAGGGAAAGGGGGCUUUUAGCUCCCACUAAAAGAUGAGCCUAAGCAAGAUUAGCUAGUUGGUGGGGUAAAAGCCUACCAAGGCGACGAUCUUUAGCUGGUCUGAGAGGAUGAUCAGCCACACUGGGACUGAGACACGGCCCAGACUCCUACGGGAGGCAGCAGUGGGGAAUAUUGGACAAUGGGGGCAACCCUGGUCCAGCCAUGCCGCGUGUGUGAAGAAGGCCUUUUGGUUGUAAAGCACUUUAAGCAGUGAGGAAAAGCUAUAUGUUAAUACCAUAUAGCCCUGACGUUAACUGCAGAAUAAGCACCGGCUAACUCUGUGCCAGCAGCCGCGGUAAUACAGAGGGUGCAAGCGUUAAUCGGAAUUACUGGGCGUAAAGAGAACGUAGGUGGUCAAUUAAGUCGGAUGUGAAAUCCCUGAGCUCAACUUAGGAACUGCAUCCGAUACUGGUUGACUAGAGUAGGUGAGAGGAGAGUAGAAUUCCAGGUGUAGCGGUGAAAUGCGUAGAUAUCUGGAGGAAUACCGAUGGCGAAGGCAGCUCUCUGGCAUCAUACUGACACUGAGGUUCGAAAGCGUGGGUAGCAAACGGG
rnacentral:rRNA from 1 species